GAUGAACGCUGGCGGCGUGCCUAAUACAUGCAAGUCGAGCGAACAGACGAGGAGCUUGCGCCUUUGACGUUAGCGGCGGACGGGUGAGUAACACGUAGGUAACCUACCUAUAAGACUGGGAUAACUUCGGGAAACCGGAGCUAAUACCGGAUCAUAUUUCGAACCGCAUGGUUCGAUAGAGAAAGAGGGCUUUGCUGUCACUUAUAGAUGGACCCGAGCCGUAUUAGCUAGUUGGUAAGGUAACGGCUUACCAAGGCAACGAAACGGAGCCGACCUGAGAGGGUGAUCGGCCACACUGGAACUGAGACACGGUCCAGACUCCUACGGGAGGCAGCAGUAGGGAAUCUUCCGCAAUGGGCGAAAGCCUGACGGAGCAACGCCGCGUGAGUGAUGAAGGUCUUCGGAUCGUAAAACUCUGUUAUUAGGGAAGAACAAACGUGUAAGUAACUGUACACGUCUUGACGGUACCUAAUCAGAAAGCCACGGCUAACUACGUG
rnacentral:rRNA from 1 species